UUGACAUCUGACAGGAUGGGACGUCUAUCUAACCACUUCUUUUUGCUGUUUUGUCUCCUCCAAGACCACCAAAAUGCUCCAUCUUUCGUUCACCAAUGGUGGAACACUCAAGGUGAUGACGAGCCUCGAUAUGAAAGAUGCGUCAGCUCGCCUGAAGAAAGCCUGAAGAGAGCCCCGGCAUCAUCAUGAAUUCAAAUACAUCAUCUCCUCACUGCAUGCCCCCAAGCUACUUCAGUUCAACUCGGCUAGUUAUUCAAUACUUGGAUAUUAAGAACACUCAAGAUGAUGACGAGCCUUGGUAUGAAAGAUGCGCCAGCUUGACUGAUGACAGCCCGUGAGAUGCUGCCUCAUCAUGAUCUCAAAUACGUCAUCUUCUCAGCGUCUCAAGCUAAUUCAGUUCAACUUUGUGAUUCAUUCAAUACUAAGAUGUUAAGGUACGUCUCACGCAGUGAGUUUUAUUUAUUGUAAAAAGAUCUGUUUACAUAGACUCUUAUAAACCACUCAGACAUAAGUUGUUUACUGUUUACAACUAAAACAAAGUUGUUAUUUAUUUGGAAAGCUAUGAAUUUAAUUCAAAGCAAAAGUGUACUUCGUGAACAGAUCUUUACCACGUACAGCCCUAUGUGGCUGUUUUUGCUAUGGAGUGAAAACUUUGCUGAAUAUAGUUGUGUACAUUUUGUAACUCCUUUGAAUCAUCUGGCCUGAUACUUUGCAGAGACAAGUAACGCAGCAAUUGCCUCUAUGCACACGGCCUUGGUCAUUGCCUUGGUGCCCAUUGAAGGUUCUUGUACUAAUUCAAAUUUCCCUCACAAUCUUGCGUUGUACUGAGAAUUGCUGCCUUGCCCUUACAAGAAUGAAGCAUCAGGCCUGAAGAAUGGGUAGUGAAAUGCAGAAAUCAAAGGGCUACUAUGUACAACUACAGUUUUUACUGAAUACCAAAGCAGUGUAGUGUACAAUCAUGCAAUCUUGUUGUGCGUAUAUGCUAACAUGUACAGUUUUAAAACAUAACUUUACACAGAUGUCAGAGUUUGAAACAUGUUUUAAAUACUUAGUUUGAUAUUUAUAUGUGGUAAAUUUGAUGUAUUUGUAUCACACGUGAAGAUAUUCAUCUCCAAAACAUUGUACGAACAGAGUAGGGCUCUUAGUUUUAACGGAAUCCUAAUGUAUGGAAACUUAGAGUGAACAUCUGCAUUUCAAUAAAGUUUUACGCUUAUUACUGAAAGUACUGUACAGUAUCUUUCCACCAUUUUAUCUUGAAAGCCAGAUACCGCAAAUCCGCGAGAACCCAAAAAUAAAUAGUUAUCAUAUUUUUGUAUGAUUUUUUGAUGUGUUUAACUUGGAAACUUGGCAAUGCAGAUGGUCCUUCUAAGCUUCCAUACAAUUUUUGUCACAUCUUUUGAAGUCUGGCUCCUAGUCUCUCAGUGCUAAUACAACACCUAUUCUUAAUUUAGGUGCCAGACUAAUUUCUUGUUUGAUUUCUCCUAUACAUGUAUAUAGGUAUACACUUAGGUGAUAAGUUAUCAAGGUUAUGUGUGUAAAUGCCCCUUUUAAACAGCUUUUAAUAUAUGCCAGCUUCGGAAUUCACAGAAAGCUGAGCAGACAUACUUUGAAAUACUUAAAAUAAGAAGUUUGAAGGUUCCCAGAAGUCACGAACGUGUGUUUACCUCCAUGUUUCUGUGCAAUUAAAUUGUAAAGAGUUCUAUAGCACUUAUAUUACAACUUUCGCUAAGUGCCGUUUGAGAGUAGUUUUAAGCAAUUAUUUAUUAAAAAGAGACUUUUCUGUAAGUUUGUUUGUCACCAGAAUGCGUAUUGCAUGUAGAAUGUUAAUAGGACACUAUUCCGCACUGGUUAGGGGUGUAAUGAAGGUUUUGACUCUCAAUUUUUGUAAUUUUCAGUGAUUUUUAUGGGUUUUUUCCCAAAAAAAUUUUGAUUUCA